rnacentral:rRNA from 1 species
GUCGAGCGGGGAGAUGUAGCUUGCUACAUUUCCUAGCGGCGGACGGGUGAGUAAUGCUUAGGAAUCUGCCUAUUAGUGGGGGACAACAUUCCGAAAGGAAUGCUAAUACCGCAUACGCCCUACGGGGGAAAGCAGGGGAUCUUCGGACCUUGCGCUAAUAGAUGAGCCUAAGUCAGAUUAGCUAGUUGGUGGGGUAAAGGCCUACCAAGGCGACGAUCUGUAGCGGGUCUGAGAGGAUGAUCCGCCACACUGGGACUGAGACACGGCCCAGACUCCUACGGGAGGCAGCAGUGGGGAAUAUUGGACAAUGGGCGCAAGCCUGAUCCAGCCAUGCCGCGUGUGUGAAGAAGGCCUUUUGGUUGUAAAGCACUUUAAGCGAGGAGGAGGCUACUUGGAUUAAUACUCUAGGAUAGUGGACGUUACUCGCAGAAUAAGCACCGGCUAACUCUGUGCCAGCAGCCGCGGUAAUACAGAGGGUGCGAGCGUUAAUCGGAUUUACUGGGCGUAAAGCGUGCGUAGGCGGCUUUUUAAGUCGGAUGUGAAAUCCCUGAGCUUAACUUAGGAAUUGCAUUCGAUACUGGGAAGCUAGAGUAUGGGAGAGGAUGGUAGAAUUCCAGGUGUAGCGGUGAAAUGCGUAGAGAUCUGGAGGAAUACCGAUGGCGAAGGCAGCCAUCUGGCCUAAUACUGACGCUGAGGUACGAAAGCAUGGGGAGCAAACAGGAUUAGAUACCCUGGUAGUCCAUGCCGUAAACGAUGUCUACUAGCCGUUGGGGCCUUUGAGGCUUUAGUGGCGCAGCUAACGCGAUAAGU